GACGAACGCUGGCGGCGCGCCUAAUACAUGCAAGUAGAACGCUGAAGAGAGGAGCUUGCUCUUCUUGGAUGAGUUGCGAACGGGUGAGUAACGCGUAGGUAACCUGCCUUGUAGCGGGGGAUAACUAUUGGAAACGAUAGCUAAUACCGCAUAACAAUGGAUGACACAUGUCAUUUAUUUGAAAGGGGCAAUUGCUCCACUACAAGAUGGACCUGCGUUGUAUUAGCUAGUAGGUGAGGUAAUGGCUCACCUAGGCGACGAUACAUAGCCGACCUGAGAGGGGGAUCGGCCACCCUGGGACUGAGACACGGCCCAGACUCCUACGGGAGGCAGCAGUAGGGAAUCUUCGGCAAUGGGGGCAACCCUGACCGAGCAACGCCGCGUGAGUGAAGAAGGUUUUCGGAUCGUAAAGCUCUGUUGUAAGUCAAGAACGGGUGUGAGAGUGGAAAGUUCACACUGUGACGGUAGCUUACCAGAAAGGGACGGCUAACUACGUG
rnacentral:rRNA from 1 species